rnacentral:rRNA from 1 species
GUAGUCCACACUGUAAACGAUGAAUGCUAGGUGUAGGAGGUAUCGACCCCUUCUGUGCCGGAGUAAACACAAUAAGCAUUCCGCCUGGGGAGUACGGCCGCAAGGUUGAAACUCAAAGGAAUUGACGGGGGCCCGCACAAGCAGCGGAGCAUGUGGUUUAAUUCGACGCAACGCGAAGAACCUUACCAGGUCUUGACAUCGAUGUAAAGCUGUAGAAAUACAGUGUGGCUUCGGCCGACAGAAGACAGGUGGUGCAUGGUUGUCGUCAGCUCGUGUCGUGAGAUGUUGGGUUAAGUCCCGCAACGAGCGCAACCCUUAUUGUCAGUUACUAACGGGUAAAGCCGAGGACUCUGACGAGACUGCCGGGGACAACUCGGAGGAAGGUGGGGACGACGUCAAAUCAUCAUGCCCCUUAUGACCUGGGCUACACACGUGCUACAAUGGUGACUACAAAGAGGAGCGAGCCCGUAAGGGUAAGCGGAUCUCAAAAAAGUCAUCUCAGUUCGGAUUGUGGGCUGCAACCCGCCCACAUGAAGUCGGAGUUGCUAGUAAUCGCGGAUCAGCACGCCGCGGUGAAUACGUUCCCGGGCCUUGUACACACCGCCCGUCACACCAUGGGAGUUGGGAGCACCCGAAGUCGGUGAGCUAACGCAAGGAGCAGCCGCCGAAGGUGAGACCGAUGACUGGGGUG